GUGAAGGGGAGAAAACAAGUGAACCGACCCUGAGAGAGCGUGAAAAGGCACUAGGGCACUUCUAUCUGACUGUGAAACGGUGAAGAAGGGAACUCGCUUAAAGAAACAGCGGACACGAGUUUCACCAACUAACUUUUGCGAGUAUAGGCCUAAUCAACUGAGCGGAGUUUUAAAAAACUAUUUCCAAGCCUCUCUCGUUAUUUCUUUCCCAUCUUUUUAGCGCAUGACCCCGGGACUGCAGAAUACUCAGAGCGGUAAGUGACAAACUCAUCACAAAAUCGGAGGCUGGGGCUCGAGGCAGCAUUUUGGACAUCACUUUUAUUGCAGAGCGUCGCGCCUUGAUUUUAUAGACUUGAGUUGUGAGAGUGACCAUGGUCGGGGAGAUGAGUGAGCAGGUCCGGGAAAGACCAAGGCCCAGCCCGGACUACCUGAUGCAGUUGAUGACGGACCGGAAGGUGAUGAGCUCUCUGCCCAACUUCACUGGCAUCUUCACACACCUGGAGCGGCUCCUAGAAGAAGAGAUAGGUAGAGUGCGCAAGGACAUGUAUAACGACUCGAUGAAUGGAGGUGUGGCCGCCGAGGGGCGGAACUCUGAGGAGCUGCCUAAUGGGAUUGGUCCAGUGGCUCAGCUGCAGGAGAAGCUCUACGUGCCCGUCAAAGAGUACCCCGACUUUAACUUUGUAGGUAGGAUCCUGGGUCCGAGGGGUCUGACAGCCAAACAGCUGGAGGCAGAGACAGGCUGUAAGAUCAUGGUACGAGGGAAAGGAUCCAUGAGAGACAAAAAGAAGGAGGAGCUGAACAGAGGGAAACCUAACUGGGAACAUCUGAGUGAGGAACUCCAUGUACUCAUCACAGUGGAAGACACACACAACAGAGCUCAGAUCAAACUACAAAGAGCCACCGUAGAGGUCAAGAAACUACUCGUACCAGCCGCUGAAGGAGAGGACAGUCUAAAGAAGAUGCAGUUGAUGGAGCUGGCCAUUCUCAAUGGAACCUACAGAGACGCCAACAUCAAGCAACCCACUAUGGCUUUCUCCCUAGCCUCCUCUCAGCAGCCUCGGCUCAUCUCCAGUCCCUCCCCUGUUAUGCAGCAGGCUAUGAGAAACCCCGCCCCUGUUCAGCAGCCCAAUCUCAUGCCUCACCUGAUUCGUCAGAUCCAGAGUCAGCAGGCCCUCAUGCAAGGAGCCAAUCAGCAUGCAGGACUGAUGCAGCAAUCACCUGAAUCAGGAGGAUUCUUCUACACUCCCUACGAAUAUUCCCCCUACACCCUAACCCCAUCUAUACUAGAAUACCCCAUGGACACUAGUGGAGUAUUAGGUAUGGCUUUCCAAACCAAAGGCUGAGAGAUAAACUCCCUCCUACAUAUGGACCUCAGACACACACACACACACACACAUACAUACAUACAUACACCUAUCUGGGAUGGGCCUCUUGACUGUCUUCUUAAUGUAACUGUUUGAUGAUGUCACUGUUAACCCCCUGUGUUUUGGUGUUUUGGUAAUGUGGUUGCGUGGUGAGCAGGAGCGAUGACGGCUAAGGUGCAACGCCACAAUAUGAGGGUCCAUCCUUACCAAAGAGUAGUGAACACCGACAGAGCUGCCACAGCGACUAACCCUUGACCUCUGUACCCACUGAUGACCCGCCCAUCUCCGCCUGUGGCUUGCUCGUUGCCAUGCUCUGGACAACAGCCACGCCCCCCCCAACCCCCCAGGAGUCACCUCUGCCAAACCAACCAGAGACCAGCGCCAUGGUAGUGACCCUUCAGGACCCAAUCAGGACCCAGUCACCAGCCAUGCCCACCCAAACACCACACUUUCAAGCCAUGUGCUCCUUCUAUAGGAACCACUACAUCAAAACCACCCAAUCACAACCCACCCCAACCAAACCCCAGCCAUGCUCUCUGCACGGGUCAGAUAACCAAUCUCUAUACCUUGCCCUGCAUUGAGUCGAUUGGAAGCUAUAGUAUUAUAAUAAUAAAAUAAUAAUAACAGAUAUAUGUAUGAUCAUAACAUAUUCAUGCCCAAUAAGCUAGUCUGACUGUCCCUGUUCUCAAACCCUCAGCGGGGGUCUAGAGAAACCGGAAGCAUCUCAUUUUUCGGGGUGGAGGGUGAGCAGAGAAGAGGCAAAGCCUACAAAAACGGAUGCUUCCGGUUUCUGCCGACCCACUAAGUGUUUUUUUCCACGCCUGCUACGUUAGGUUACCGUCACACAAAAUGUUACUCAGAUCUGGUUUAAUAUGUCACACCAGUUUCACACGAUGUCCUCUCUAAGACUAGGCUUUUCCACCAUGCCUGCCUUUCUACAGUGACCUGAGUCUAUCUAACGGGUACGAUCACACUUCUCCGGGUGCUACAGAGCGAAGAGUCUCAACCAUAGCGUUUGCUUUACCAAUACAGUAUUAUCUGGAGAACAAAGUGCCUUUAUUUAUUCCAAUAGAGAGAUAUGUCACAGACCAGAGCAGCCUUUUUUUAUGAUGGGUUUAUAUUCUCCAUGAAACAUGUCUCAACAAAAGUGAAAGAGAUGUGGUGUAUUAUAAAGGAACCAACUCAAUGUUGUGGUUUCCCAUAAGCCCUACAUAUGUCUUUUGGAUUUAGAAUGAAGUGCCAAAACUGGUCAGUUUCUUCCGUUAGUAUAGUAGGACCUCCUCAGAACAGUGUUAGUUUUGUGUGUUUUCUUUUCUUUUGGGGGGGAAAUGACGUGUAUACUUGUGUGUCUGCCUGGAGAACACACCCUAUUGUAUAGUGUUGUGUUAUUAGAUAUGUGCGUUACAUACCUGAGCUCCUAACUCUCCUCUUGGCCAAGCGGUUGUUUUUACUCCACACAAACCAUCUCAUUCAAGACAAAACAUCUGUUUAUAAUGUAUUUUUAUAUGACAUUUUUUGUAUGUGAGAAAUAACAUUAAAUUAUGUUUUCUGGAAAGAACA